GACAGAGGGGGCAAGCGUUGCUCGGAAUUACUGGGCGUAAAGGGCGCGUAGGCGGGAUGGCAAGUCGGUCGUGAAAUCCUUCGGCUCAACCGAAGAACGUCGAUCGAUACUGCUGUUCUUGAGGGUUGCAGAGGAGAGUGGAAUUCCCGGUGUAGCGGUGAAAUGCGCAGAUAUCGGGAAGAACACCCGUGGCGAAGGCGGCUCUCUGGAACGCAACUGACGCUGAGACGCGAAAGCGUGGGGAGCAAACAGG
rnacentral:rRNA from 1 species